CCUACGGGUGGCAGCAGUCGAGAAUCAUUCACAAUGGGGGAAACCCUGAUGGUGCGACGCCGCGUGGGGGAAUGAAGGUCUUCGGAUUGUAAACCCCUGUCAUGUGGGAGCAAAUUAAAAAGAUAGUACCACAAGAGGAAGAGACGGCUAACUCUGUGCCAGCAGCCGCGGUAAUACAGAGGUCUCAAGCGUUGUUCGGAAUCACUGGGCGUAAAGCGUGCGUAGGCUGUUUCGUAAGUCGUGUGUGAAAGGGGCGGGCUCAACCCGCGGACGGCACAUGAUACUGCGAGACUAGAGUAAUGGAAGGGGAACCGGAAUUCUCGGUGUAGCAGUGAAAUACGUAGAUAUCGAGAGGAACACUCGUGGCGAAGGCGGGUUCCUGGACAUUAACUGACGCUGAGGCACGAAGGCCAGGGGAGCGAAAGGGAUUAGAUACCCCUGUAGUC
rnacentral:rRNA from 1 species